GGAAGCAUGUGCUGAGAGGUGACCUGACAAGCAUCCUUUUGCCAUGAAGUCAUCAGUGGUCUCAGGCAUGCAUUAGGGUAGGAAAAUCUUCCCAAGGUCAUACUUUUCAAGGCUCUUUUCUGGAAGGGCCAUCUAAUCUUGCUUUUCAGAUGAGGUUUACCCUGGAGGCAGUAUUUAGCUUUUGGAGCUUCCCUUAGGAGAUCUAAGCAACCAGCAGGACCACGGCUUCAGAGCAGGGGCUGCCGUGGACUGUUGCCCGGCACACUUUGGGGUUUUUCCAUUAGGCACAGCCUGGGAAUUUUCCUGGCCUUUGAGGGCAGGCUGGGUCAGUUCCAGAAGGUCAUAGGCCAGGUAGGGAAUCCCUUGUGGCGAUAUAGUGAUCUCACAGGUAUUUCCUUUUUGAAGCCAGGGACACACAGCAGAACUGGAGUAAGGAGAUGGACAUAACCAGAGAAGGCUCUUUGCAAGUGGGACAAAAUGGUCCCCGCAGGUUUUGAAGGCUUUGAGGCUUGAGCAGAGUUAACCCGAAUAGGAUUUUAGACCCUGAUGGCAAAGCCAGUUCUGUGACUGUACCUUCAUGGCCCUGAGGCUUAUAACGGAGCAAUUGCUCCUUAUAAGUCUUUCCCCCCUCCCCAGCCCAUUCCCCAGACCAGAGCAAAAUGCACUAGAGCAGAGGUUUGGUCCUGACAGACCUCCUGAAGUGUAGCAAGUGAGGAAAGCCACCUUCUGAGCGCUGAGGUCUCCGGUGCAGUCACGCCCAGAUUGCUCGAUCACAUGACCUGCCCCUGUGCCUGUGGCUGGCCACAGGUAAAUUGAGCCUAUUUAUACUCUCCUGCCUGGAGGAGGAGGGGGGAGAGAGUUUCUGGGAACCCACAACACAGCUGUCCGAUCAGCCUCGCUCGGUAAAGCCCAUCUCCCUCUGACACUGUGUGUUUUCCCUCCCUCAAUUUCCUGCGGAUCACAGCCUGGGCUCGGAGGCUGUCAAUCUAGCCGAAUAGGUCAGUAGCCAUCUCUCGUUUACCCUUUAAUAUUUGGGGAAUUUUAGAACUGGAGGAGGCUCAUAUUCUCUAGAUAACAACCUCCCGCCUGCCGGGGGUUGGUGGGGAUUAUUGAGACCUCUAGGAGGGUUAAUUAUCACUCCCUGGAGCUGUUUAGGAGCAGACUCUGUGAUUUCUCUCAUUCAGUUCCAAUGAGCAGGAAUCCCCCCCCCCUUUUUUUUUUGCUUUGUAGGGUUGCACCCUGGGCUUAUGGACGUUCCCAGGCUAGGGGUUGUAGGGGUUGAAUUGGAGCUGCAGCUGCCAGCCACAGCCACAGUCACCCCAGAUCCAAGCUGUGUCUUCGACCUACACCACAGCUUGUGGCAGUGCCAGAUCCUCAACGCACUGAGCGAGGCCAGGGAUCAAACCUGCAUCCUCAUGGAGACUAGUCGGAUUCCUUUCUUUCUUUUUUUUUUUUUUUUGUCUUUUUUUGCUAUUUCUUGGGCCGCUCCCUCGGCAUAUGGCGGUUCCCAGGCUAGGGGUCUAAUUGGAGCUGUUCCUGCCAGCCACAGCAACGCCAGAUCUGAGCUGUGUUUGCGACCUAUACCAUGGCUCACGGCAAUGCCGGAUCCUUAACCCACUGAGCAAGGCCAGGGAUCGAACCUACCAUCUCAUGGUUCCUAGUCAGAUUCAUUUCGGCUGCACCACGAUGGGAACUCCUUUAAAGCAUUUUUGAGUCUCGUCUUCUGUCGCUUACAGUGUCCUUAAGAGGAAACUGAGGCUGGGACAGAGGUCCUGGCUGGAUGGGAGAGCCAGCCUGGUGAGGGUGAGCAGUGUGGUUGGCAGUCACAUUGCAGGGAGGGCCGAGCUGCAGUCAAAACUAGAUCCAUCCCAUCUGAGUCCCUACCAGAUAUUUAGGGGCCCUGGUGCAUCCCAGUGGCCCCUUCAGGGAUGGCACAGAACAUGUUGGUGUCUGAUUUGGGCUUUGGUUUAUGUCACGUUUGGGGGGAAUCUGACACCUCGGUUUAGCCCUUAAUCAGUUUUGAGGCCCAAAUUAGCAGGUACUCACUCAACCGUUUGGGUUUUUUUUGGUUGUCUUUUUAGGGCCCCACCCUCAGCAUAUGGAGCUUCCCAGGCUAGGGGUCGAAUCAGAGCUGUAGCUGCCGGCCUACACCACAGCCACAGCAGCGUGGGAUCCGAGCCAUGUCUGCAGCCUACACCACAGCUCCUGGCAAUGCCGGAUCCUUAAGCCACUGAGCAAGGCUAGGGAUUGAACCUGCAUCCUCAUGAUGCUAGUCAGAUUCGUUUCUGCUGAGCCAGGACGGGAACUUCUGGGGUGGGUUUUUUUAAAUAAGCGAUAGAAUGGUUUAACUUUCCAAACCUAAUCUUUUAAAGUGCCUGCCUCCUUUAUUUUCUGAGUGUAAAGGAAACAUGGCAUUUUAGUCUCCUCAAGGGGGCUAAGAACAUGGGGGUCAGGCGGGGAGAAGGGGCUCUGCUGAGGGCUUCGAGGCAGAAGGGAGUUAUCUCGCCGCUGGGCUGAUAAGGAGCUGGGCUGGCACCCUGUGCUACGACGUGGAAACUAUAGAAAUAAAGCUGGAGUUCCCAUCGUGACGCAGUGGUUAACGACUAGGAACCAUGAGGUUGCGGGUUCGAUCCCUGGCCUCGCUCAGUGGGUGAAGGAUCUGGUAUUGCUGUGAGCUGUGGUGUGGGUCGCAGACAUGGCUCAGAUCCCACAUUGCUGUGGCUCUGGCGUAGGCUGAUUAGACCCCUAGCCUGGGAACCUCAAUAUGCCACGGGUGCAGCCCUAGAAAAGACAAAAAAAA
rnacentral:lncRNA from 1 species